GACGAACGCUGGCGGCGUGCUUAACACAUGCAAGUCGAACGGAAAGGCCCCUUUGGGGGUACUCGAGUGGCGAACGGGUGAGUAACACGUGAGUAACCUGCCCUUGACUUCGGGAUAACUUCAGGAAACUGGGGCUAAUACCGGAUAGGAAUCCUUGCUGCAUGGUGGGGGUUGGAAAGCUUCGGCGGUUUUGGAUGGACUCGCGGCUUAUCAGCUUGUUGGUGGGGUAGUGGCUUACCAAGGCUUUGACGGGUAGCCGGCCUGAGAGGGCGACCGGCCACAUUGGGACUGAGAUACGGCCCAGACUCCUACGGGAGGCAGCAGUGGGGAAUAUUGCCCAAUGGGCGGAAGCCUGAUGCAGCAACGCCGCGUGCGGGAUGACGGCCUUCGGGUUGUAAACCGCGUUCAGCAGGGGCGAAGCUUGUGGUGACGGUACCUGCAGAAGAAGCACCGGCUAACUACGUG
rnacentral:rRNA from 1 species